CGGGACACGUGGUAUCCUGUCUGAAUAUGGGGGGACCAUCCUCCAAGGCUAAAUACUCCUGACUGACCGAUAGUGAACCAGUACCGUGAGGGAAAGGCGAAAAGAACCCCGGCGAGGGGAGUGAAAAAGAACCUGAAACCGUGUACGUACAAGCAGUGGGAGCACGCUUAGGCGUGUGACUGCGUACCUUUUGUAUAAUGGGUCAGCGACUUAUAUUCUGUAGCAAGGUUAACCGAAUAGGGGAGCCGAAGGGAAACCGAGUCUUAACUGGGCGUUAAGUUGCAGGGUAUAGACCCGAAACCCGGUGAUCUAGCCAUGGGCAGGUUGAAGGUUGGGUAACACUAACUGGAGGACCGAACCGACUAAUGUUGAAAAAUUAGCGGAUGACUUGUGGCUGGGGGUGAAAGGCCAAUCAAACCGGGAGAUAGCUGGUUCUCCCCGAAAGCUAUUUAGGUAGCGCCUCGUGAAUUCAUCUCCGGGGGUAGAGCACUGUUUCGGCAAGGGGGUCAUCCCGACUUACCAACCCGAUGCAAACUGCGAAUACCGGAGAAUGUUAUCACGGGAGACACACGGCGGGUGCUAACGUCCGUCGUGAAGAGGGAAACAACCCAGACCGCCAGCUAAGGUCCCAAAGUCAUGGUUAAGUGGGAAACGAUGUGGGAAGGCCCAGACAGCCAGGAUGUUGGCUUAGAAGCAGCCAUCAUUUAAAGAAAGCGUAAUAGCUCACUGGUCGAGUCGGCCUGCGCGGAAGAUGUAACGG
rnacentral:rRNA from 1 species